rnacentral:rRNA from 1 species
UACGGGGGGGGCAAGCGUUGUUCGGAAUUACUGGGCGUAAAGGGCUCGUAGGCGGCCAACUAAGUCGGAUGUGAAAUCCCCAGGCUUAACCUGGGAACUGCAUCCGAUACUGGAUGGCUUGAAUUCGGGAGAGGGAUGCAGAAUUCCAGGUGUAGCGGUGAAAUGCGUAGAUAUCUGGAGGAAUACCGGUGGCGAAGGCGGCAUCCUGGACCGAGAUUGACGCUGAUGAGCGAAAGCGUGGGGAGCAAACAGG